rnacentral:rRNA from 1 species
AACGAACGCUGGCGGCAUGCCUAACACAUGCACGUCGAACGAGACCUUCGGGUCUAGUGGCGCACGGGUGCGUAACGCGUGGGAACCUGCCCUUAGGUUCGGAAUAACUCCCCGAAAGGGGUGCUAAUACCGGAUAAUGUCUUCGGACCAAAGAUUUAUCGCCUUUGGAUGGGCCCGCGUUGGAUUAGCUAGUUGGUAGGGUAAAAGCCUACCAAGGCGACGAUCCAUAGCUGGUCUGAGAGGAUGAUCAGCCACACUGGGACUGAGACACGGCCCAGACUCCUACGGGAGGCAGCAGUGGGGAAUAUUGGACAAUGGGCGAAAGCCUGAUCCAGCAAUGCCGCGUGAGUGAUGAAGGCCUUAGGGUUGUAAAGCUCUUUUACCCGGGAUGAUAAUGACAGUACCGGGAGAAUGAGCGCCGGCUAACUCCGUG